rnacentral:misc_RNA from 1 species
UCUCUUGCCACUAGAGAAAAUCUCUUCGUUCGCUACUGUGCCCCUUCUUCAGUGUGUUCUAUCUGUAAUUAGUGCCUAAAAACCUUGGAACAUUUACUAUUUUUUGGUAGUCAUGCUAAGUUAGCUUGGUUCGGAUCAGCUCUUGGCUUUUGUUCUAGGGAGGAGGGCUUUGUUUCUUUUGUAAAACGGUGGAAGUCACUUUUUGACAUGUCUCUAUCUAUGGAUAGUAG